AGGAGAUGAAGGAGGUACAGGAGAAGGAGGAGAUAGAGGAAGAGGUAGAGAAGUACUUGAAGAGUUGACAGAACCUGAACAAAGAAGACGAGGACCAAAUUUGACUCAAGAAAUCCGUGCAACCCUUAUUGACCAUGUUAUCAACCAUGGACUGACACUGAUGGAAGCUGGACAAAGAGUUCAACCCAAUCUCAGCAGAAAUACUGUUGCGUCAGUAAUUCGGACAUUUCAUUGAGAAAACAGGAUUGAAGGUCGAGGACACCAAGGUGGAAGGGGCCCUAUGUUCACUCGUGCACAAGAGGCCGCCAUUGUGAACAUGGUUUUGACCAAUAAUUGUAUCAGGCUGCGAGAUUCCAAGCCAAUAUCAUCAAUGGUGACCAUAUUUUCAAUAACAUCCAACGAGUCUCUCUGUCAACAUUAGGUCGAAUCCUCAAGAAAAAUCAAAUAUACAUGAAGCAACUGUAUGUGGAGAGAGUCUUGCAAAUGGAUGCUGCAGAAAUUCAACAUGAAUUUAUAUGUGUGGAUGAGGCUGGAUUUAACCAGAAGAGGGAGAAAUGUUAUUGGACACAGGGCAAUCAGCAAUGUGCCAGGGCAGCGAGGGGGUAACAUCACCCUUUGCGCUGCUAUUACACAAAAUGGGGUCCUCCACCACCAUGCAAAUCUGGGACCCUAUAAUGCAAAUCUAAUACUUGCAUUUCUUGACAGAUUGCAUGAGAUUGUCACAGCAUUAAACCAAGUGGACCAGAUGUAGUACAUUGUUGUUUGGGACAACGUCUCAUACCAUCGGGCUGCUCUGGUCCAGAUUUGAAGUCUUAAACCUUCCCCCAUACUCCCCCUUCCUGAAUCCAAUAGAGUUUUUUUCAGCAUGGCGGUGGAAGGUAUACAACCUGCAGCCCUAUGACCAUUCAGGCCACGGAGUAGGCCUGUGAUCAUAUCGAAGCAGCU